GCGGAGGAAAAGAAACCAACAGGGAUUGCCCUAGUAACGGCGAGUGAAGCGGCAACAGCUCAAAUUUGAAAUCUGGCUCUCUAUGGGAGUCCGAGUUGUAAUUUGCAGAGGAUGCUUUGGCAUUGGCGGCGGUCUAAGUUCCUUGGAACAGGACAUCACAGAGGGUGAGAAUCCCGUACGUGGUCGCCUGCCUUUGCCGUGUAAAGCUCCUUCGACGAGUCGAGUUGUUUGGGAAUGCAGCUCUAAAUGGGAGGUAAAUUUCUUCUAAAGCUAAAUACCGGCCAGAGACCGAUAGCGCACAAGUAGAGUGAUCGAAAGAUGAAAAGUACUUUGGAAAGAGAGUCAAAAAGCACGUGAAAUUGUUGAAAGGGAAGCGCUUGCAGCCAGACUUGCCCGCAGUUGCUCACCUAGGCUUUUGCCUGGGGCACUCUUCUGCGGGCAGGCCAGCAUCAGUUUGGGCGGUCGGAUAAAGGUCUCUUUCAUGUAUCUUCCUUCGGGUUGACCUUAUAGAGGAGACGUAAUGCGACCAGCCCGGACUGAGGUCCGCGCAUCUGCUAGGAUGCUGGCGUAAUGGCUGUAAGCGGCCCGUCUUGAAACACGGACCAAGGAGUCUAACAUCUAUGCGAGUGUUUGGGUGUCAAGCCCGGGCGCGCAAUGAAAGUGAACGGAGGUGGGAACCUUUUAGGUGCACCAUCGACCGAUCCUGAUGUCUUCGGAUGGAUUUGAGUAAGAGCAUAGCUGUUGGGACCCGAAAGAUGGUGAACUAUGCUUGAAUAGGGUGAAGCCAGAGGAAACUCUGGUGGAGGCUCGCAGCGGUUCUGACGUGCAAAUCGAUCGUCA
rnacentral:sRNA from 1 species